rnacentral:rRNA from 1 species
CUGACCUCAUAUCAGAUGUGAGUACCCGCUGAACUUAA